rnacentral:tRNA from 2 species
GGAGGGCUGACCGAGCGGCCUAAGGUGACAGUCUUGAAAACUGUUGUGGGGCAACCCACCGGGGGUUCGAAUCCCUCGCCCUCCACCA